UGGGGAAUAUUGCACAAUGGAGGGAACUCUGAUGCAGCGACGCCGCGUGAACGAAGAAGGCUUUCGAGUCGUAAAGUUCUUUUAUAUAGGAAGAUAAUGACGGUACCAUAAGAAGAAGCCCCGGCUAACUACGUGCCAGCAGCCGCGGUAAUACGUAGGGGGCUAGCGUUGUCCGGAAUCACUGGGCGUAAAGGGUUCGCAGGCGGAAAUGCAAGUCAGGUGUAAAAGGCAGUAGCUUAACUACUGUAAGCAUUUGAAACUGCAUAUCUUGAGAAGAGUAGAGGUAAGUGGAAUUUUUAGUGUAGCGGUGAAAUGCGUAGAUAUUAAAAAGAAUACCGGUGGCGAAGGCGACUUACUGGGCUCAUUCUGACGCUGAGGAACGAAAGCGUGGGUAGCAAACAGG
rnacentral:rRNA from 1 species